GUAGGUUUUCACCCAGUCGCAUUCCGGCAGUUCAGUCUCAGACAUUUGUCGCAAGUAUCAAAUCUGCAAUUCAUUCAGGAUCCUUGAGACGUACAAUCUGUUAAUUGUUAAUUACCCCCCACGGCGCCAGUCUACAAUUAAUUCGUAAAUAUUCGAGAUGAAACUGAUAACUAUUCAAGGCUGUUGGUUUAUUGUUGUUUUGCUGGCCGUGACGUCACCGGUUCGUUCAGCAGUGCCAUUCGAGCGGGUUACCAACGGACCGCUAGUUAACAAUUCACAAAAGAUCAACGAAUCUCGAUUUCAAAUCUUUAGAGUCGCCAUCACAGAUGUUCGAUUGUGUCCGUCGGGUCUUUAUCGAGACCUGACCGGUCGUUGUCGCGAGCCAUUUUCAAAAAUUAAUUAAUUCAGCAAUAUUAUUUUACAAUACAACUAUCAAGCAAUCAACUGUCCAAUCAACUAUGUAACAUUAAUUUUGAAUACAUAAUUUCGGAACGA